GAUGAACGCUGGCGGCGUGCCUAAUACAUGCAAGUCGAGCGAACAGACGAGGAGCUUGCUCCUCUGACGUUAGCGGCGGACGGGUGAGUAACACGUGGAUAACCUACCUAUAAGACUGGGAUAACUUCGGGAAACCGGAGCUAAUACCGGAUAAUAUAUUGAACCGCAUGGUUCAAUAGUGAAAGACGGUUUUGCUGUCACUUAUAGAUUGAUCCGCGCCGCAUUAGCUAGUUGGUAAGGUAACGGCUUACCAAGGCAACGAUGCGUAGCCGACCUGAGAGGGUGAUCGGCCACACUGGAACUGAGAAACGGUCCAGACUCCUACGGGAGGCAGCAGUAGGGAAUCUUCCGCAAUGGGCGAAAGCCUGACGGAGCAACGCCGCGUGAGUGAUGAAGGUCUUCGGAUCGUAAAACUCUGUUAUUAGGGAAGAACAAAUGUGUAAGUAACUAUGCACGUCUUGACGGUACCUAAUCAGAAAGCCACGGCUAACUACGUG
rnacentral:rRNA from 1 species